CCCUUUUUUUUCCCCAAUAGUACUCCGUUGUGGGAUAACAUCUAGGCCUUGCAUGCCACUGGACUGUUCUGCUUACCUGUUCCAGUAUUUUGAGAUCCCAGAUCAGCACAAAGGAAUCUGGAAAGAUAAGAAGAUGAUACAAAGAUGGUAUUAGGACUUCACAGAAGUGUGGAACCAAAACAGCUGGGGAGUAAUAAACAAACAAGCCUGCUGAAUUACAGUUUGGAGGAAAAGCACAAAAUCACUAUUAUGUGUAGUAUCCUGUAACUGUUGUGGGUGCCAGAAUAUGAAAGACCCAACAUGCUGCUCUAGACUGAUACUGAAGCUAACAUAACGCAGUUCAUGAGAGAACAUCAUUGGUAUUCUCCAGGUAUGCUAAUUCUGUUUAAACUACUG
rnacentral:lncRNA from 1 species